rnacentral:rRNA from 1 species
UACAGAGGUCCCAAGCGUUGUUCGGAUUCACUGGGCGUAAAGGGUGCGUAGGCGGUCGGGUAAGUCUGAUGUGAAAUCUCACAGCUUAACUGUGAAACUGCAUUGGAUACUAUCCGGCUCGAGGAAUGGAGGGGAGACUGGAAUUCCCGGUGUAGCAGUGAAAUGCGUAGAGAUCGGGAGGAACAUCUGUGGCGAAGGCGGCCACCUGGACCAACACUGACACUGAGGCACGAAAGCGUGGGGAGCAAACAGG